CUCCUGGAUCCCCGAGCAGGACACCAGCCUGUUGGGAUGAUGCUGCCCGGAGGCACCAAGCACAGCCAGACCUGGAUCCCAUGGGAAUCCCAUCCCCCAGUGUCCCCAAUACAAGGUGGUGGUCAUUGCCACUGCCAAGAUGUGUAUCCUGGGUGUGCAUCUCUUUCCUCUGUGUGUAGGGAAGGGCAGAGGGGAUGGGGUGAAUUUCUGACAGACAUGGACACACAAACACUGUCCCACCAUCCUCCCUCUCUCCUUGGUAGCCUCAUCCACACCAGCAUCUCCACACAGGGUGGGAGAGGGGACACAGGUGACACUCACAGGGACCCCAAUGCCAGCCUUGUGGCUCAGCAAGGGGGCCCCAGCACCUCUCACAGAGGGCAGAGGGGUGGCUGUGACCACCCUAAUUUCAGAGGGGUCUUGUUGGUUGAACACUCAGCUCCCAGGCUGGGUCAGAGUCCUUGUGGGCCUGUUCCAUGGGACACACACUGGCCUGGUGUCCUUGGGUCCAGCCCCAGCUUUGGGGUACCAGGGGGUGUUGUGGGGUCCAGGUGUAUCUGGGGAGUGGGAGAAGUCAUUCUGCUCCAAAGGAAAUAGGGACUGAUGGCUGUGCCAUGGGGCUUCUCAGGAGCUUGGAAUUGAGUUUGGGGUCAGUGCUGGGAGGGUUUCAAGGCCUGGGGGCUCAGUUAGGAGCUCAGGUGGGUCAUUGUGGAUGGCUGGUGUGCAGAUCCAGGAUGCUCAGCUCAUGGGGGCCAUGGGGGUGGGCCCUGCACUGCCAUGAGGCAACACUGCCUCAUGGGCCCUGAACUGCCGUGAGCGACCAUGGGGAUGCUGGGGACACCCAGUGUUCCCCUCCAUGGAGCAGGGCAGCCAGGGGUGGGAGCAGCCUCUCCUGGGGUAUUGGGCAUUGCUGUGGGGACAGAGAAGGUCAGAUCAGGGUGCCAGCUGUGGGUCCAAGUCUGGGUCUGGAUCAGCAAGGCCAAGCUGAAGCUCUGAUGGGGUCGAGCACAAGAUUCCCAGGUCAGAGCAGCUUCCCAAGGCAGGGCUGGCCCCAGCCAUGGCCUCCCUGCAGUGGGGAUUACAGAAGCCAUUUCCACACCAUAAGCAGCAAUCCCUGGCUGUGCUGGCUCUGGGCUGGUCUUGAGUCUGGCUCCAAACCUCCAGGAGCAAAGAUAUUCCAAGGACUCAGCAAUGGACGCCCAGUCCUACUUCUACAGAUUGAUGCUCAAGGAAUGUCCCCAUCCUGCAUCAAGGCCAGGAUGGAUGGGGCUUGGAGCAUCCUGGGAUAGUGGAAGGUGCCCCUGCCCAUGGCAGAGGUUGCAAUGAGAUGAAUUCUGAAGUUCCUUCCGACCCAAACCAUUCCAUGAUUCCAUGCAUCUCUCUGAGAGAUGACACCAGCCCCUGUGUCCCUGAUGUAUCCAAUCUCAAUUUCCAUUCUCCUCUCCAGGAUCCAGCUCCAGGAGCUUUGGUGUCUCUGAGCAAUGGACCAGCACCCUGGAGACACAGCACAGACUGUUUGUACAAAAAAAGUUACAAAUAAAGUUCACUAGGAAUGUAGGACAGGUAAUAAGAUGGAUGUAGGACAUGGCCAGGAAGCAGCCAUGGAUAUAUUGCCUCUUUCUCUCUCAUGAUCUUUCCUCCAUGAGCACCUUGAUCUUUAUCUUUCUGAAAUACCACAGAAUUCCUAUAAAUCCAAAACCUCUCCUGAUCAAAUCCACACCUCUAAGGCCCGAUAUGGCCCUAUGCACCUUCCUUCACCAAUCUCCCAUAGAUUACCCAUUUUUAUACAGCAUUUUGCUGUAGUUUUAUAUAGCAUUUUGCUGCUAGUUGAACGACAAUUUUAAAUUUUGUACCAAGUAGGGCAGUUUCAGAAGCAGUGAGUGGAUUCAGACAGAAUGAGGUAAAGUGUGGUCUCCCCUGAGCAGAUUUCCUCUUUGCACUGCUUGACUAUUUGAAUAGAUAUCAGAAAGGCAUCCUCAGGCUUAUCACUUCCUGGCAGGUGGAAUGCAAGUCACCUUGGCAAGGAUGAAGCUGUUCUUGUGAUGCUAAAAAAGAAGGAAACCAACAUUUUUUGAAUGUUUCUGUGUGUCACACAGCACCAGCUCCCUAAGCAAACUGACAGGACAGGAAGAGACAGAUAUUUUAUCAGAGAAUCUCAGAAUGGUUUGGGGAAAAAGGGGCUUAUAAGGUUAUCCAGUUCCAAUCCCCACCAUGAUCAGGGACACCUUCCACUAUCCCAGGUUGCUCCAAGCCCUGUCCAACCUGGCCUUGGACACUUCCAGGGAUGAGGCAGCAACCUUUGGGCAACCUGUGCCAGGGCUUCACUUCCCUCACAGAAGAGGGAAGUGAAGCCGCCCUGCCUACUUCUGCCUGCACCCACCAGCCUGUUUUGUCCAUCCCAGGUAGUUCAUGCCAUGCCACCACAGCCCGGUGCCGCUGUGCCGCAGGUGUCACAAGAGGUGUUGCAUGGGGACAACGGUGCCAUUGAUUGCAACAGCCCCAGGAGGUCCCUCAGCCUCGGCUGUUGCAUCAGAGAGGGAAAAGGAGAAGCCCCAGCAUCCCCACAUGGAUGGGUGGCUUUCUGGUUGGCCGAGGGAAGAUGUGUCAGCAAAAAUCAGGGAAUGUCCCCAUGGCUUGCAACAAUAUAAAAUCAGAGUGUUUUGGCCAAAAGAGUGCUCCUUGAACCCGAGGGCCACUGGACACAGCGAUUCUUGUUGGGUUUGUGGCUGCCUGAGCACCCAGACCUUCAUCAGGUAGGUGACUGUGGGGUCUCCUGGAAAAGGAUCAGAUGAGGUAAUGGAUUUCCCAGAGACUGAAACAUCAUUAAAUGCUCCUGAGGUUGUCAGAGUGGCACAAACCUAAGAAUUGUUUUUAAGAGGAAAGUAGAAGAAACAUCAUCCACUGUACCUAGAGGCAGCACCUUUGCAGUUUGGUGAACCACAGAGCUCAGGCUCCUGCCCCACCUGGGGUCCUGCCUGUCCCCAUUGCCUUGGUGUCCCCUCUGCAGCUCUGUGAAGACCCAGGAGGAGCAGCAGCCAUGAAGAUCCUGUUCCUACUCUUCCCCCUGAUCCUCCUGUUGGUGAGAGGGGGGGCUUCAGGUGAGAGGCAAAGUGGGGAGAUGGGGAGAGGUGUGAUCCUCCAUUACUGGGGUUUUCCAUGUCCUGGGAAGUGAUCACUUUAGUGGGAGUGAUGCAAAGGUAAGGGGAGAUUGAGGAGAAAGGUGUUUCUCCAGUGAUAGUUCUAUAGGACACAGACUUGGGGUGGAAAGAGCCCAUGGAAAUAGAAUAUUUGUUUCUUUGGUGGGUUAGGAAGGAGUUUAGUUUCAGAAUUCCACACCGAACCCACCUGUUCGUCUUUGGCUGUCUCUGAAUGUUCUUCUGCCCUGUGUGUGAUCUUUGCUGUGGGGAGGUUGGAGCUGAAUCAUCCACUGGCCAGAAAUGCACAAACACCACCAGCUUUUUGCAACCACACACUGAUCUUACAGAUGACCGCUUUAACUGUUCUGUAUGUUUCUUUCCCCAUGGAAACCCAAAAUGCAGCUGGAUGCAGGAAAAGAGGGGGAUUCUGCACUUAUGGGAGAUGCAACUUCCCUGCAAGACCCAUUGGAAGAUGCACACUGUAUAGUGUGUGCUGCAAGAGAUAAGUGUCUGGGGCUGAGACCCUGAAAUCCCCAAGCAGGACAUGGCCCUCGCUUCUGGCUGAUGUCCCCACCUGCUGAUGUCCCCAUGUGCUGAUGUCCCCAUGUGCUGAUGUCCCCUGGCCUCGGUGGCUGUGCCGUGCCCAGCUGGGCUGGCAGCAGCAGUGGCAGCUGCUCCUGCUGGCUGCUGCUGGGCUGGAGCCCUGUGGUGCCAGCUCCAGUGUCUUUGGGGCAGGGGCUGCUUUUCCCGCCUUGAAUAAAGACGAGCACUUUGGCAUUGCA